GACGAACGCUGGCGGCGUGCUUAACACAUGCAAGUCGAACGGUGAAGCGCCUUCCUUUUUGGUGGGUGUGGAUGAGUGGCGAACGGGUGAGUAACACGUGAGUAACCUGCCCCCUUCUUCUGGAUAACCGCAUGAAAGUGUGGCUAAUACGGGAUAUUCUGGGUCUGUCGCAUGAUGGGUCUGGGAAAGAUAUUGUUUCGGUGGGGGAUGGGCUCGCGGCCUAUUAGCUUGUUGGUGGGGUGAUGGCCUACCAAGGCGGUGACGGGUAGCCGGCCUGAGAGGGUGGACGGUCACACUGGGACUGAGACACGGCCCAGACUCCUACGGGAGGCAGCAGUGGGGAAUAUUGCACAAUGGGCGCAAGCCUGAUGCAGCGACGCCGCGUGAGGGAUGGAGGCCUUCGGGUUGUGAACCUCUUUCGCCAGUGAAGCAGGCCUGCCUCGUUUGUGGGUGGGUUGACGGUAGCUGGAUAAGAAGCGCCGGCUAACUACGUG
rnacentral:rRNA from 1 species